GAUGAACGCUGGCGGCGUGCUUAACACAUGCAAGUCGAGCGAAGCACUUUACUUGGAUUUCUUCGGAAUGACGAGUUUUGUGACUGAGCGGCGGACGGGUGAGUAACGCGUGGGUAACCUGCCUCAUACAGGGGGAUAACAGUUAGAAAUGACUGCUAAUACCGCAUAAGACCACAGCACCGCAUGGUGCAGGGGUAAAAACUCCGGUGGUAUGAGAUGGACCCGCGUCUGAUUAGCUAGGUGGUGGGGAAACGGCCUACCAAGGCAACGAUCAGUAGCCGGCCUGAGAGGGCGACCGGCCACAUUGGGACUGAGACACGGCCCAAACUCCUACGGGAGGCAGCAGUGGGGAAUAUUGCACAAUGGGGGAAACCCUGAUGCAGCGACGCCGCGUGAAGGAAGAAGUAUUUCGGUAUGUAAACUUCUAUCAGCAGGGAAGAAAAUGACGGUACCUGACUAAGAAGCCCCGGCUAACUACGUGCCAGCAGCCGCGGUAA
rnacentral:rRNA from 1 species